rnacentral:lncRNA from 1 species
AUCAUUUAAUCACGAACAAGUUUAAGGACUGCAUGAUAAAUCCUCUUUUAUCGAUCAAAAUAGUCUUAAGGACUUCAUCACAACACAGGAGUUCAUUAGAAGAUGUAAUUUUAUAAUGAAUAGGCUAAAUAACUUUAAUUAAUGAUCAAUUCAUAUACAUUUAUAAUUAACACAUUCGUUAAAUAAUUGGUUUUAGGAUAUAAUUCCCAAC